AGCUUUGCGCAGUGGCAGUAUCGUAGCCAAUGAGGUUUAUCCGAGGCGCGAUUAUUGCUAAUUGAAAGAAUUAGAUACAAGUUAUUGUACCCUCUAGAAGUGAUCAGAAAACAGUCCAAAGCUAUGUUUUUGUUUCCCACAUUUAAGAAA
rnacentral:snRNA from 1 species